ACCUGCGGAAGGAUCAUUGUCGAGACCCAACCACGAACGACCGAGAACACGUGAACCAAGUAUGCCGGCUCGGGCUCGUCCCGGCGAGCGGCACCGUGCGUCCAUCCCAUCCCAUCCCAACCCAACAGUUGGGUGGGAGGGUGGACCACGAUACGAACCCCCGGCGCAACGGGCGCCAAGGAACACGAACCUCGGGGGCAGCACACGACGGGCCCCACGUGGCCUUCUCAGCGCCCCCGACGAUGCAUUAGCAUAAUCUUGAACGACUCUCGGCAACGGAUAUCUCGGCUCUCGCAUCGAUGAAGAACGUAGCGAAAUGUGAUAUUUGGUGUGAAUUGCAGAAUCCCGUGAACCAUCGAGUCUUUGAACGCAAGUUGCGCCCGAGGCCUUGUGGCCGAGGGCACGCCUGCCUGGGCGUCACGCCAUUGACGCUCCAAGCCCGCCCGCCCCCCGGGGAGAGCGUGGCCAUGGACGCGGAAGCUGGCCCCCCGCGCCCUUGGGUGCGGCCGGCCUAAGACACGGCUGCCGGGUCCCCGUGGGACACGAUUGGUGGUGGAUGCCCUCGAGCGAGCCGAACAUCGUGCCCGCGGCUGCGCAGCCCAACACAGACCCCAUCAUCAGACCGCGACCCC
rnacentral:rRNA from 1 species